AAAAUCCAUCUUCAAUUUCAUGAGUACACCUCUCAUAGACCAUCACGAAGGAGACACCCGAAGGCAAGAUGUUGGGCUCAAGGACUGAGGGAAGACAGCACACAAUGUGGACGGGCGCUGCACAGUGGCGACCAGCAAUGGCAUGGUUUUGAAAUGGUUCAGUAUUUGGGUAAUUGUGUAUUUAUGUAUGCAUUUAUGUAUGUGUAUGUGUAUAUACCAUCGACCUCAUGAGCCACGUAACAAAAAUACUACUUAGAAUAAUUAUGAUGAGAAUACAGAAUAAAAUUACCCCAGAAAUAGUCCAAGAACA